GACAUGUCCAGGAGCCUGAAGAGAUUUGGGUGUGCCCGAAAGGGAACUGGAACACAGGUGCUGCAUGGCUGUCGUCAGCUCGUGUCGUGAGAUGUUGGGUUAAGUCCCGCAACGAGCGCAACCCUUGUCGUUAAUUGCCAUCAUUUAGUUGGGCACUUUAACGAGACUGCCGGUGACAAACCGGAGGAAGGUGGGGAUGACGUCAAGUCCUCAUGGCCCUUAUGGGUAGGGCUUCACACGUCAUACAAUGGUCGGUACAAAGGGUUGCCAAGCCGCGAGGUGGAGCUAAUCCCAGAAAGCCGAUCGUAGUCCGGAUCGUAGGCUGCAACUCGCCUGCGUGAAGUCGGAAUCGCUAGUAAUCGUGGAUCAGCAUGUCACGGUGAAUACGUUCCCGGGUCUUGUACACACCGCCCGUCACACCAUGGGAGCGGGUUCCGCCAGAAGUAGGUAGCCUAACCGCAAGGGGGGCGCUUACCACGGCGGGGUUCGUGACUGGGGUG
rnacentral:rRNA from 1 species